UUGGCCAAAAGUCUGUAUUUU
rnacentral:miRNA from 1 species